rnacentral:rRNA from 1 species
CGCCAGACUCCUACGGGAGGCAGCAGUGGGGAAUAUUGCACAAUGGGGGAAACCCUGAUGCAGCAACGCCGCGUGAGUGAAGAAGUAUUUCGGUAUGUAAAGCUCUAUCAGCAGGGAAGAAGAAGGACGGUACCUGACUAAGAAGCCCCGGCUAACUACGUGCCAGCAGCCGCGGUAAUACGUAGGGGGCGAGCGUUAUCCGGAUUUACUGGGUGUAAAGGGAGCGUAGACGGUUUUUCAAGUCUGAAGUGAAAGCCCGCGGCUCAACUGCGGAACGGCUUUGGAAACUGAGGGGCUAGAGUGCUGGAGGGGCAGGCGGAAUUCCUGGUGUAGCGGUGAAAUGCGUAGAUAUCAGGAGGAACACCGGUGGCGAAGGCGGCCUGCUGGACAGUAACUGACGUUGAGGCUCGAAAGCGUGGGGAGCAAACAGGAUUAGGUACCCC